rnacentral:rRNA from 1 species
CAGCAGCCGCGGGAAUACGAAGGGGGCUAGCGUUGUUCGGAUUUACUGGGCGUAAAGGGCGCGUAGGCGGGCGAAUAAGUCAGGGGUGAAAUCCCAAGGCUCAACCUUGGAACUGCCUUUGAUACUGUUUGUCUUGAGUUCGAGAGAGGUAAGUGGAACUGCGAGUGUAGAGGUGAAAUUCGUAGAUAUUCGCAAGAACACCAGUGGCGAAGGCGGCUUACUGGCUCGAAACUGACGCUGAGGCGCGAAAGCGUGGGGAGCAAACAGGAUUAGAUACCCGCGUAGUCCCUGUCUCUUAUAC